rnacentral:rRNA from 1 species
GAUGAACGCUGGCGGCGUGCUUAACACAUGCAAGUCGAACGGUGAAGCCGGAGCUUGCUCUGCUGGAUCAGUGGCGAACGGGUGAGUAACACGUGAGCAAUCUGCCCCUGACUCUGGGAUAAGCUCUGGAAACGGCGUCUAAUACUGGAUACGAGCUGCUAAGGCAUCUUCAGCAGCUGGAAAUAAUUUCGGUCAGGGAUGAGCUCGCGGCUUAUCAGCUUGUUGGUGGGGUAAUGGCUCACCAAGGCGUCGACGGGUAGCCGGCCUGAGAGGGUGACCGGCCACACUGGGACUGAGACACGGACCAGACUCCUACGGGAGGCAGCAGUGGGGAAUAUUGCACAAUGGGCGAAAGCCUGAUGCAGCAACGCCGCGUGAGGGACGACGGCCUUCGGGUUGUAAACCUCUUUUGGCUGGGAAGAAGCGAAAGUGACGGUACCUGCAGAAAAAGCGCCGGCUAACUACGUG